UAUGCUCGCUCCGGCAGCACACUGUACAGAAAUUGGAAUGAUACAGAGAAGAUUAGCAUGGUCCCUAUGCAAGAAUGACACACAAAUUCAUGAAGCAUUCCAUAUUUUU